UACGUAGGUGGCGAGCGUUGUCCGGAUUUACUGGGCGUAAAGGGAGCGUAGGCGGCUUUUUAAGUGAGAUGUGAAAUACUCGGGCUUAACCUGAGUGCUGCAUUUCAAACUGGAAGUCUAGAGUGCAGGAGAGGAGAAGGGAAUUCCUAGUGUAGCGGUGAAAUGCGUAGAGAUUAGGAAGAACACCAGUGGCGAAGGCGCUUCUCUGGACUGUAACUGACGCUGAGGCUCGAAAGCGUGGGGAGCAAACAGG
rnacentral:rRNA from 1 species